rnacentral:rRNA from 1 species
CCUACGGGAGACAGCAGUGAGGUAUAUUGGUCAAUGGGCGAGAGCCUGAACCAGCCAAGUCGCGUGAGGGAGUACUGCCCUAUGGGUUGUAAACCUCUUUUGUCGGGGAGCAAAAGCCGGACGUGUCCGGCUGUGAGAGUACCCGAAGAAAAAGCAUCGGCUAACUCCGUGCCAGCAGCCGCGGUAAUACGGAGGAUGCGAGCGUUAUCCGGAUUUAUUGGGUUUAAAGGGUGCGCAGGCGGAUUUUUAAGUCAGCGGUAAAAUCGUGGGGCUCAACCCCAUCCAGCCGUUGAAACUGGGGAUCUAGAGUGUGCGAGAGGUAUGCGGAAUGCGUGGUGUAGCGGUGAAAUGCAUAGAUAUCACGCAGAACCCCGAUUGCGAAGGCAGCAUACCGGUGCACAACUGACGCUCAGGCACGAAAGCGUGGGUAUCGAACAGGAUUAGAUACCCUUGUAGUC